GCGCCGGCCACUUCCGGGAGCUCCCUCGGAGGCGCCGGCUCGCCGGGACCACGACUCCCAGAAUGCGCCACGCUGCCCAACGGGCGCGCGCGCGCUCACCUGGGACCUCCGCUCCCGAGCUCACAGCGCGCACGCGGCCCUCCCGUCCCCCGGAUCCUAGUCCCCGGGAGGCCGCGGGCCGCCUCCUGCGCACCCUCGGGGUACGCCGGGAGUUGUAGUCUGGGCGGGCAGUGAGCGGACGGCUGGCCCACGGGGGUCGCGGCGGAGGGCUCACAGGGCAAAUUUGUCUCAUGGUGAUGGCAGAGAUGCCUGCAGGCUUGAGGCCUAGGCUCAGAACUAACAUACUAGCAGUUCCACUCAGAUUCUAUUGAGAUUCUAGAAAGCAAGUCACAUGGCCACACCCAAAGUCAAGAAGAGGUAACCAUGCGGCCUUUGGUGAAAGGAACGACAUAUAUGGCCAAAGAUCAAGGAAGGUGACCACAGAGCAUAUUCAAAGACCUGCUGCAGUUCCUUAUGGGGGUAAUAAAGGAGGUCAUCAGAAAA